UGGCUCAGAACGAACGCUGGCGGCGUGCCUAACACAUGCAAGUCGAACGAGAAAGUGGAGCAAUCCAUGAGUACAGUGGCGACCGGGUGAGUAACACGUGACUAACCUACCCUAGAGUGGGGAAUAACCUCGGGAAACCGGGGCUAAUACCGCAUAACAUCGCGAGGGGAAGAUCCUUGUGAUCAAAGGAGCAAUUCGCUCAAGGAGGGGGUCGCGGCUGAUUAGUUAGUUGGCAGGGUAACGGCCUACCGAGACGAAGAUCAGUAGCCGGCCUGAGAGGGCGCACGGCCACACUGGAACUGAAACACGGACCAGACUCCUACGGGAUGCAGCAGUGGG
rnacentral:rRNA from 1 species